rnacentral:rRNA from 1 species
UACGGAGGGUGCGAGCGUUGUCCGGAAUCACUGGGCGUAAAGGGCGCGUAGGCGGCUCAUGAAGGCUGUGAUGAAAGUCCGGGGCUCAACCUCGGAUCGGCCGUGGCGACUCGUGGGCUGGAGCACUGUAGAGGCGGGUGGAAUUCCGGGUGUAGCGGUGGAAUGCGUAGAGAUCCGGAAGAACACCAGUGGCGAAGGCGGCCCGCUGGGCAGUGGCUGACGCUGAAGCGCGACAGCGUGGGGAGCAAACAGG